CCUACGGGAGGCAGCAGUAGGGAAUUUUGGACAAUGGGCGAAAGCCUGAUCCAGCAAUGCCGCGUGUGGGAAGAAGGCCUUCGGGUUGUAAACCACUUUUGUACGGAACGAAACGGCUCGCUUUAAUACAGCGGGCUAAUGACGGUACCGUAAGAAUAAGCACCGGCUAACUACGUGCCAGCAGCCGCGGUAAUACGUAGGGUGCGAGCGUUAAUCGGAAUUACUGGGCGUAAAGCGUGCGCAGGCGGUUAUAUAAGACAGUUGUGAAAUCCCCGGGCUCAACCUGGGAAUUGCAUCUGUGACUGUAUAGCUAGAGUACGGUAGAGGGGGAUGGAAUUCCGCGUGUAGCAGUGAAAUGCGUAGAUAUGCGGAGGAACACCGAUGGCGAAGGCAAUCCCCUGGACCUGUACUGACGCUCAUGCACGAAAGCGUGGGGAGCAAACAGGAUUAGAUACCCUGGUAGUCCACGCCCUAAACGAUGUCAACUGGUUGUUGGGUGNAUAGUACUCAGUAACGAAGACUACGACGUGAGUAGACCGCCGUGGGAGGUACGGCCGCGAGGUUAGAACGUACGAAUAGAAGUUAGACGGCGUGAGACGUGACCGACGGACGACGACGAGGGAGGUUAGG
rnacentral:rRNA from 1 species